UUAUUUUUGUUUUAAACUUAACUUAGGUUUAAUUGAUAAGCUUGUUAUAUAUUUUUAGAUUCAGAUUAGCGGUAGAUGUUAAUAUAUAAGUGGUCCUUUAAGUUCCUGUCUUAUUAUUAGCCUGCCUAUUUAUUGAGAUCAGUUCAAAGUUCAAAAGCUAAGUUUUAUUUGACCUGAGGCUGUUGAUAUGAAAUGAGCAGGUAUUGGGGGCAUAACUUGUAGGUUAGCAUACAGAAAUCAUAAAAUGAGAAUGCCUCUGGAACUCAUCUUAACAACAAGAAUUUUUUUGAACACUAGAGUUGAAUAUUUUAAUCUGUAUAUUAAUGAAUUGCACCAUUAUGUGUAAUAUUUUGGCAGUGUAUAUGAUCUCAUCUUUGCUGGUAAACUAUUAUUCACUUGUGGCACUGACAUAUUAAUCAAGGUUUGGGAUGUGGCUGCUAAUUGUCAGCUAGUAUGGGUUAUCCAAGACUGUAGACUGUGAUGCACCUGCGUACUCUCUGUGUCUUGUUGUUUGUGGUGAAACUCGUUUUCUCGUAUCACAUUCAUUUGACGGGCAACUGAAGAUAUGGAGCCAGCACAAAGCAAGUCCAAAAUGUUUAUUUCGUAGUUGGAAGUGCACAACAAAGUCUUAUGCUCAUUAAGAAAUCAAAUAAGUGUUGCACAAAAAUAUUGCACGGAAAACUAUGAAACGUUGUAAGAAUUCAAAUAAGUGUUGCACAAAAAAGUUACAAUAGGCUAUUGUAACGCCUAAAAAGUGAUACACAAAGGGCUAAAGAUGUUGCAAUAUCAAAGUUAUUGCAAGACAUUUAAAGUGUUGCGUUACAAGGAAAAGUGUUGCAUUUGACGACCUAUUGCAACGGCCGCAAAUGCAAGCCCUAAUUUUAGGUGAAAUGUUACAAUAGACUCUAUUGUGAUACUUUUAGGGCUUUACGCAACAUUUUUUCGGGCUUGCAAUAGGCCAAAUAUGGCGUAGUGAAUAUUUAACUAGAAUGCUACAA